GCCGUAAGAUUCACACGGAAGCCGUGGAAAAUUCGGCGUACAGAGUGACGAUAAGAAGAAACGAUCAAUGCCAGGGCAUCGGAGGGUCGCACAUGUUUUAUCUCUUCGCGGGACAACAUCAGCUUCUUCUCUUCCCCGAGAAAGACGCGAAUUCCGCGAACUCGGUUCCAGUUCGAGGGCUGUCCAGUCCAGCGGCCUGCUGACGCCAUAUUCCUCGCGAUCUGCCAUCGAGAGGGCCUCGGGAGUCCGCCAUCUUCCGCUCUUCGAGAUUCUCGGAAGAGUUCUGGGACUGCGGAGUUUUGAGGAGAUGGCGAGUAGAACGGAGUGGGGGACGAGGGGUACAUUUGACGAGGAUUUCCCUUAACGAAUAGGAAAUUGGGUGGCAAUCAAUAACGCAUCGACCCCGAUGGUCUGCCCUGAUGAAGAAGAAGAGGAACAGGGGACGAAUGGACCGCGCGGAGGAACGCAAGUGGUGCAGGGAACGAGAGAGAGGGUGCCAGAGACGCGUUAGAUCAGGUUCCGAGGACCGGGGUUCGGGUCGGUCGAGCUCGAAGAUCGAAAGAUUAGAAACGAUUUGGGGGAUACCUGCCCCUAUCGUGAAAGUUUAAUUAGGCUCCUUUCCGGUCUAUCUCCGAGCUGAUAUCGGGGAUGAUAGGUACGCCAAUUGUACGGCGUCGACGUCAAUAUUUCUCGCAGGGAUCACGUCGGACGUCGAGGGAACGUUCGUUACGUGGAAAUAAAGCUCAUAACGUCUCUUAUUAUUGUUUCCAUCUUUUUCGAUCCACGCCGAUUUUCGCAGAGCCUUAACACCAUUCGAUCGUAUUUAUUCGUCCUCUGAGGAUAUCCUUGCUUAUCGUCGUAAGUUUAUGAUCCUCUAAUUGGGUAGAUUUCUAUGUUACCGACUUUUAUCUGCGAGAGAAUGAAAUAGAUGGAUAAUUUGUGUUAAGAUGACAGUCU